rnacentral:other from 1 species
GGAGUCCUGAAGUGUUCGUAGAAAGCCACAUGUUUUGACCGAACAUGAUUUGAAAGGGAGCCUGUAAGUUUUCACCCGGCGUGCAAGCCUCGAAUUUAAGUGGACGCAUAAAAGGUGAAGCAGGGCACCCACCUGCUAAGUGCGGGUUCAAAACUCGGGUUUUUAUACGGCACGAUUGGGACUCCU